rnacentral:rRNA from 1 species
GGAAUAUUGCCCAAUGGGUGAAACCCUGAGGCAGCAACGCCGCGUGAACGAAGAAGGCCUUAGGGUCGUAAAGUUCUUUUCUGAGGGAAGAUAGUGACGGUACCUCAGGAAUAAGUCCCGGCUAACUAAGUGCCAGCAGCCGCGGUAAAACGUAGGGGACAAGCGUUAUCCGGAUUUACUGGGCGUAAAGCGCCCGUAGGCAGCUUGGCAAGUUGGACGUGAAAGCUCCCGGCUUAACUGGGAGAGGCCGUACAAAACUGCGAAGCUAGAGGUUGGAAGAGGAGAGCGGAAUUCCCGGUGUAGUGGUGGAAUGCGUAGAUAUCGGGAGGAACACCAGUGGCGAAAGCGGCUCUCUGGUCCAGACCUGACGCUGAGGGGCGAAAGCGUGGGGAGCAAAC